GAUGAACGCUGGCGGCGUGCCUAAUACAUGCAAGUCGAGCGAACGGACGAGAAGCUUGCUUCUCUGAUGUUAGCGGCGGACGGGUGAGUAACACGUGGAUAACCUACCUAUAAGACUGGGAUAACUUCGGGAAACCGGAGCUAAUACCGGAUAAUAUUUUGAACCGCAUGGUUCAAAAGUGAAAGACGGUCUUGCUGUCACUUAUAGAUGGAUCCGCGCUGCAUUAGCUAGUUGGUAAGGUAACGGCUUACCAAGGCAACGAUGCAUAGCCGACCUGAGAGGGUGAUCGGCCACACUGGAACUGAGACACGGUCCAGACUCCUACGGGAGGCAGCAGUAGGGAAUAUUCCGCAAUGGGCGAAAGCCUGACGGAGCAACGCCGCGUGAGUGAUGAAGGUCUUCGGAUCGUAAAACUCUGUUAUUAGGGAAGAACAUAUGUGUAAGUAACUGUGCACAUAUUGACGGUACCUAAUCAGAAAGCAACGGCUAACUACGUG
rnacentral:rRNA from 1 species